GACGAACGCUGGCGGCGUGCUUAACACAUGCAAGUCGAACGGUAAGGCUCCAGCUUGCUGGGGUACACGAGUGGCGAACGGGUGAGUAACACGUGGGUGACCUGCCCUGCACUUCGGGAUAAGCCUGGGAAACUGGGUCUAAUACCGGAUAGGACUGCACCGUGAGGGUGUGGUGGAAAGUUUUUUCGGUGUGGGAUGGGCCCGCGGCCUAUCAGCUUGUUGGUGGGGUAAUGGCCUACCAAGGCGGCGACGGGUAGCCGGCCUGAGAGGGUGGACGGCCACAUUGGGACUGAGACACGGCCCAGACUCCUACGGGAGGCAGCAGUGGGGAAUAUUGCACAAUGGGCGGAAGCCUGAUGCAGCGACGCCGCGUGGGGGAUGACGGCCUUCGGGUUGUAAACUCCUUUCACCAUCGACGAAAGGUUUCUGACGGUAGAUGGAGAAGAAGCACCGGCUAACUACGUGCCAGCAGCCGCGGUAAUACGUAGGGUGCGAGCGUUGUCCGGAAUUACUGGGCGUAAAGAGCUCGUAGGUGGUUUGUCGCGUCGUCUGUGAAUUCCGGGGCUUAACUCCGGGCGUGCAGGCGAUACGGGCAUAACUUGAGUACUGUAGGGGAGACUGGAAUUCCUGGUGUAGCGGUGAAAUGCGCAGAUAUCAGGAGGAACACCGGUGGCGAAGGCGGGUCUCUGGGCAGUAACUGACGCUGAGGAGCGAAAGCAUGGGGAGCGAACAGGAUUAGAUACCCUGGUAGUCCAUGCCGUAAACGGUGGGCGCUAGGUGUGGGUUUCCUUCCACGGGAUCCGUGCCGUAGCUAACGCAUUAAGCGCCCCGCCUGGGGAGUACGGCCGCAAGGCUAAAACUCAAAGGAAUUGACGGGGGCCCGCACAAGCGGCGGAGCAUGUGGAUUAAUUCGAUGCAACGCGAAGAACCUUACCUGGGCUUGACAUAUACAGGAUCGCGCCAGAGAUGGUGUUUCCCUUGUGGCUUGUAUACAGGUGGUGCAUGGUUGUCAUCAGCUCGUGUCGUGAGAUGUUGGGUUAAGUCCCGCAACGAGCGCAACCCUUGUCUUAUGUUGCCAGCACGUUGUGGUGGGGACUCGUAAGAAACUGCCGGGGUUAACUCGGAGGAAGGUGGGGAUGACGUCAAAUCAUCAUGCCCCUUAUGUCCAGGGCUUCACACAUGCUACAAUGGUCGGUACAGUGGGUUGCCAGUCCGUGAGGGCGAGCUAAUCCCGCAAAGCCGGUCUCAGUUCGGAUCGGGGUCUGCAACUCGACCCCGUGAAGUCGGAGUCGCUAGUAAUCGCAGAUCAGCAACGCUGCGGUGAAUACGUUCCCGGGCCU
rnacentral:rRNA from 1 species